rnacentral:lncRNA from 1 species
CCAUUUUUAACUAAACCGAAAUUAAGCAUAAGAAAUAGACCAUUAAAACAUAUUCUUCAAUACCAAAUUCAAAAACGAAAAGAGACAAGCCAUUUUCGCAUGGCUCAUAUUUACAUAUCAAAAAAUAAUUUAAACAUAUUAACUAGACUAUACAUGCCAUAGGUUCGAGUUCAAAAUAUACAAAAUACCAAGAAAGGUCGAUAGUGUGAUAGACUAAGCUGACGAUCCCCGAACUCGUAAC